rnacentral:rRNA from 1 species
AGUGAACGCUGGCGGCGUGUUUAACACAUGCAAGUCGAACGAGAACGGAUGUUAGUUUACUAACAUUGUCAGCUAAGUGGCGCACGGGUGAGUAAUAUAUAGGUAACAUGCCCCAAAGAAGAGGAUAACAUCUGGAAACGGUUGCUAAAACUCUAUAUGCCUUUAAGUCAUAAGACUGCAAGGGAAAUAUUUAUAGCUUUGGGAUUGGCCUGUACAGUAUCAGUUAGUUGGUGAGGUAAUGGCUCACCAAGACAAUGACGCUUAACUGGUUUGAGAGGAUGAUCAGUCACACUGGAACUGAGACACGGUCCAGACUCCUACGGGAGGCAGCAGUGGGGAAUAUUGCACAAUGGACGAAAGUCUGAUGCAGCAACGCCGCGUGGAGGAUGACACAUUUCGGUGCGUAAACUCCUUUUAUAUAGGAAGAUAAUGACGGUACUAUAUGAAUAAGCACCGGCUAACUCCGUGCCAGCAGCCGCGGUAAUACGGAGGGUGCAAGCGUUACUCGGAAUCACUGGGCGUAAAGAGCGUGUAGGCGGAUAAUUAAGUCAGAUGUGAAAGCCAAUAGCUCAACUAUUGAACUGCAUUUGAAACUGAAUAUCUAGAAUAUGGGAGAGGUAGAUGGAAUUUCUGGUGUAGGGGUAAAAUCCGUAGAGAUCAGAAGGAAUACCGAUUGCGAAGGCGAUCUACUGGAACAUUAUUGACGCUGAGACGCGAAAGCAUGGGGAGCAAACAGG